rnacentral:lncRNA from 1 species
AAAAAGGUUGAACAAAAAAAAAAGGGUGCCCGGAGAGAUCUCGCUCGAUCUCCUGCCUACGUAUCUUAUCUGGUAUGAGAAUCAGGGCGACGUAGUUCCCCUUAACAGGGGUACAACUCUCUCCUAACCAGAGACCAGGGAAACAACAAACUAAUAGGGAGACUGACUCGAGCCUAAUAGUUGUCAUGCAAACCACAAUCCCUAAGUUGAGGUCUCUAAUCAUGCAUCUAACUCACACAGGAAGCAAGUCAGCUCAAAAACACCAACACCAAUGAACAAG